AUUGCUUCUCGGCCUUUUGGCCAAGAUCAAGUGUUCUUAUCAGUGAUCUGUUCUUAUCAGUUUAAUAUCUGAUACAUCCUCUAUCUGAGGACAAUGUAUUAAAUGGAUUUUUGGAGCAGGGAGAUGGAAUAGGAGCUUGCUCCAUCCACUCUACUCAUUGACCUGGUAUUGCCAUAUUUCCAGGAAUGGUGCAUCCCCU
ensembl:snRNA U2 U2 spliceosomal RNA